GCGAAUUCGCCCUUCCCUAUGGGGUGCAGCAGGCGCGAAACCUUUACAAUGCACGAAAGUGUGAUAAGGGGAUCCCCAGUGCUCAUGUACUGCAUGGGCUUUUGCCAAGUGUAAACAGCUUGGCGAAUAAGUGGUGGGUAAGACUGGUGCCAGCCGCCGCGGUAACACCAGCGCCACGAGUGGUAACCGCGAUUAUUGGGCCUAAAGCGUCCGUAGCCGGUUCAGCAAAUCUUUUGUGAAAUUGUUCGGCUCAACCGAACAACGUGCAAGGGACACUACUGAACUUGAGACCGGGAGGAGUCAGAAGUAUUCCAGAGGGAGCGGUAAAAUGUUAUAAUCUCUGGAGGACUACCUGUGGCGAAGGCGUCUGACCAGAACGGAUCUGACGGUGAGGGACGAAAGCUAGGGGAGCGAACCGGAUUAGAUACCCGAGUAGUCCUAGCCGUAAACGCUGUGAGCUAGGUGUUGCGCCAGCUACAUGUUGGUGCAGUGUCGAAACGAAGGUGUUAAGCUCACCGCCUGGGAAGUACGGUCGCAAGACUGAAACUUUAAGGAAUUGGCGGGGGAGCACCACAAGGGGUGCGGCGUGCGGUUUAAUCUAACUCAACGCAGAGAACCUUACUAGGGGCGACGGCAGGAUGAAAGCCAACUUGAAGAGUUUGCCUGACAAGCCGAGAGGUGGUGCAUGGCCAA
rnacentral:rRNA from 1 species